UCUGAGCAUGAUGACUUUGCAGGAGCAGCUCCAGGGGAGGUGUCUGGGUGCAGGCAGCUGUCUGAAGCCAGCAGGAAGCAGCAGUUAGGAAAAAGAGUGAUGGGGUGGCCAGAUUUGGAGUUGGAAGUGAAGAAGUUCAGGUCGAAAGAGAGCGGGCUGAAGGAAGAGACCAGGACAGAGCUCCAGAAAAAUGCAAGACUCUAUUCUAGGUUGGAGGAGUCUAAGAUGAAGAAGGAGAAAGAGAAGGUGCUUCUCUUUUCUUCUGGGUGAAGUGGAUUGGGGUGAUCUGCUGGAGGAGAGACCUGCAGUGUAGGUAGAGGCACAGGUCAGGAGAGAACCAACUCCAGAGACCAGGGAAGGCUGAGCAGUCAAAGAUGACGUCUGAGAAGUUACCGGAUGUGAGCUGAUCAGAAGCUCCCCCACGCAUGUCUGUCUCAAGAGCACCAGUGAGAGGCAGGAGUUUGCCUCUCGUUGCCCCAUCUGGUGGCGAGCCUGGAGGGCUGCAGGCUGUUGGAGCCCUGAGCCAGGUCAACCCCAACCUGGGUCUUCUCCCAGGACCAGGAGCAAGCAGAGGAAGCCAAUAUACCUGGAGGACAGCAAUGACAAAGUUCACUGGGCUGGAGUGAGAGACGACCGGACUUAACGUCUUAUCAAUUUGGUCAGCUUAGGAAAUUCUUUGUCUUUUUGUACUUCAUUUUCUUCUUGGAAAAAAAGUGGGUUACUGUGAGAUUUUGUGAAGUUGUGUCAAGGUAAAAGCACCCAGAAGAGCAGGCAGUGGAUCCUGUGGUCUCAGUAAAGGAGUCACCCCUCUUCCUUGUUUCCCUCCCCACCUCCACCCUGUAUUUCCCCCCUAACACGACUGUGUAUCUGGCCAGAAGUUACUUCUGCUAUAGGCACUAUAGCUGGGAACAAGAGUAAGAACCUGUGUGGGAAUAGUAGGAUCAAGGCAUGGAGCCCUCAGUGGAUCUGGGACACCACCAAGGUCCUGCCUUUCUGCAAUGUGAAGCCUUCCUGGAACUUUCUGUUUCACAAGAGGGGGGACAUUCUCCAUCACCUUAGACAUCCAGGCAUAGGAAAUUAUAUGUUUCUAAUUUGGGAGUUGAUGGUGGGAUUUGAACCUGGGGCUGUGUGCUUGUUAGGUUGUUCUAUAUUAUUAUUAUUAUUAUUAUUAUUAUUAUUAUUAUUAUUACCAUUAUUUAGGGACAGGGUCACUUUAUGUAGCUGUAGCUGGUAUUAAGCUCAUACAGAUCCUCUCUUCCUCUUGAAUGCUGGCAUUAAGUGUGUGUGCCACCAUACCUGGCUGUAUCACUAAUUUAUAAGGUCCUGUCCAGGUCUGGGCUAUUACUAAUUUUAUGAGCUAAAGCAACAUUUACAAGAACAAAAGUCAAAAGCACAAGUGACUGAAUAUCUUGAGGAAGACAAGCAUUACACACAUAUAGACCUUAUCAUGUGGGUUAAAGGUGAGAGGGAGGGCAAAUGAUUCCUACAUAUUGGAAACAACAAAAUAUUAAUAUUUUCCUCUCAUGGAUUUUUCUUAAACAAAACAAUAGAAUGGUCUCUUGACAGAAAACUUUGGGAUCUAGGCAUGUGUCUGCCUGCAGAAGGUGGCUUUGGCAGGAAUCUUGCUCUUCCUGUAGCUGUUGCCUCUGUUCCUUCUAGAGACUAUUUUGGAAAUAUAUGACUCAGCUGGUGAACAUUCCCAACCUGGUAUGUGGAAAAUACCUCCCAGGCGAGGAGACUCACACAAACCCCGAGUCUUCUCCAGGGGCUGCAGUGUUAAAAUCUGUGACUUUGCCAUGGUUUUGGUGGACUGGAUUUUUGUUGUUUCUGUUUUGAGACAGGGUUUCUCUGUGUAACAGCUCUGGCUGUCCUGGAACUUACUCUGUAGACCAGGCUGGGCUCGAACUCACAUAGAUCCCCCUGCCUCUGCCUCUCCAGUGCUGGGAUUAAAGGUGUGUGCCACCACUGCCCAUCUAUUCUAUUUGUCUUAACUGAGUUACCUGUCAUGGUCCAGCUUUCAUCUUAUCAAGUUGCAUUGUCACCAGACCACCUAGUGGCUCAAUUGAGAAACCAGAAAUGACACAUCCUGCCUACUUCCCUCUUCCUCCAUCGUUCACACCAAGUGGACAGACAGCUGCGGAAAGACACUGGACUAAGGAAAAAACUGCUGAACUGAACCAACCAGUGUAUUUCAAAGAUGUGCUGACCUUGGUAUGGAAACCUGGACAUGUGUUACGUUGGGGUAGGGGUUUUGUAUUUAUCUCCACAGGAGAAGAAAAUCUUUAGAUACCAUCAAAAUUGAUCAAGAUUCGAGUUGAGGAAGACAACCCUCUCGACAAGGAUGACUGACAGGUAUUUUCUGAGGAACCCCCCUCUAGAAGUCAAAGGACACUACAUGUAUGGAUACUUAAGGAAAGAACGUAGCUAUAACCAUCCAACAAAAGGAACGUGCCAUACGGUAAAAUUUACAGCUGUCUCUUGAAUAACUCUAUGUCUAUUCAUUUCCUAGUCCCUAUUCAACUAAAUCGAUGCUGGAUUUAGAGUUGGAUUUGGCUUUCCUACUCUAAAAUCCAAGCAUGUUACUUAACAACAUUUAAAAGUUUCUGUGUUAUAUCAAGAAGCCAAUUGCUGUGAUACAGAAUAAAUGAAGAAUAAGAGGACUAUCUUUGUCUUUUCUUGUUUUUUUCUUUCACACCCUCUCAUAAUCGUUGUUCGUCAAGGUUUGCCUUUCCCAGUACACAUACAUGAACAAGCGAACAUUUCUCUGAUGACACUUAUGUUUGAGUCCCAUACAGCCAACAAGAACCAGCCUGACAGCAAUCCCUACAAGCUCCGGAAAAAAAAAUUGGACUACACCUCCCCGACUAUACUGGAUUCAACUCACUCCGUUUCGAUUGACACUCCAACCAGAACCUCGAGUAAUGACUUCAAUCAAGUUGAGGAUUUCAACAUAGAUCUUCAAUCAAACAAAUCUCAUCUAACAUGGACUAGACAUAACUCAUUAGAGGC
ensembl:lncRNA